rnacentral:rRNA from 1 species
AACGCUAGCUACAGGCUUAACACAUGCAAGUCGAGGGGAAACGAUAUUGGAAGCUUGCUUCCGAUAGGCGUCGACCGGCGCACGGGUGAGUAACGCGUAUCCAACCUGCCCACCACUUGGGGAUAACCUUGCGAAAGUAAGACUAAUACCCAAUGAUAUCUCUAGAAGACAUCUGAAAGAGAUUAAAGAUUUAUCGGUGAUGGAUGGGGAUGCGUCUGAUUAGCUUGUUGGCGGGGUAACGGCCCACCAAGGCAACGAUCAGUAGGGGUUCUGAGAGGAAGGUCCCCCACAUUGGAACUGAGACACGGUCCAAACUCCUACGGGAGGCAGCAGUGAGGAAUAUUGGUCAAUGGACGAGAGUCUGAACCAGCCAAGUAGCGUGCAGGAAGACGGCCCUAUGGGUUGUAAACUGCUUUUAUAAGGGAAUAAAGUGAGUCUCGUGAGACUUUUUGCAUGUACCUUAUGAAUAAGGACCGGCUAAUUCCGUGCCAGCAGCCGCGGUAAUACGGAAGGUUCGGGCGUUAUCCGGAUUUAUUGGGUUUAAAGGGAGCGUAGGUGGAUUGUUAAGUCAGUUGUGAAAGUUUGCGGCUCAACCGUAAAAUUGCAGUUGAAACUGGCAGUCUUGAGUACAGUAGAGGUGGGCGGAAUUCGUGGUGUAGCGGUGAAAUGCUUAGAUAUCACGAAGAACUCCGAUUG